CCCUUGCUCAUCUUUCCUCUCCCUGAUAUACUCACCUGGCUACUCAACCUCAGACACUCAUCAGAAUGGAGAUUUAAAAAACAGAAAAACAGCAAAUGCUCUGCUCUGUGGGCACGCGGCGAUGGUUCAAACAGAUGAUACAUGGUGAAGGUUACCAGCCCUGUGCCUGCACAAAGGCUACCUGCACCAGCUCCUGACUUUAGGUUUGCCACCCUCGUUCUAGCCCAAGCUCAGACCUGAUGUGACUGAUGUGGCUUCUCCUGAUGAGCUUUGGGCCCUUGUCGCAGAUGCUGUGGAGGCCUCACCUUGACCAUUCCCUUGCUCGUGGACCCCAUGAUGUCCAGUUUCCCGUAGCUGCAACUUGCUGCCUGAAGAAGGCUUUCUCUAGCUACUUAAGCCCACUGAGCUGGUUCCCGGAGCAAGCUAUGCCAGGGGGUUAUAAGCCUCAGCCUCCAGCAGCCCUCCACUAAUGAUGGAUGGGAAUUGGGGUGAAUAAAACUCCAACUUCCUCUUUCUCUGAGGGAGAGACAACUCUGAAGCGUGUUCCACCCCAUGUCCCAGAGGUCCCUGGUGGGGCUGAACCCCAAUUGCUCACAGGGGUCAGGGACACAUCAAAGGACCCACUAUCACUACCAUCCCUUUUCUGACACAUUCCUGCUCUCAUACUGACGUUUUCCAGGAUAACCUCCCAAAUAAACUUGACUCAGGAUCUGCUUUGGGGCAGUCUAGCCUAAGACAGCCUUCUUUUUUAUCCUGCAGAGUAAAAUACUACUCACUAACCACAUUAUUAUGUCAGACACAAUAUUUAUUUCACAUUAGAUCCCUGAGAUGGGUGCUGUUUUAACCCCCACUUUACGAAUGAGAAAAUGGAGGCCACAGAGCCAGCCAGUGGCAGAGCCAGGAUUUGAACUCAGAUCUUUCUGGCUCCAAAAGUUCUGCCUGCCCUAUCAUAUGACACUCACCUGCCUCCUUCCAUCCUGGAUCUCUUUCCUGCAGUCAAGCCUUGGCCACAAAGACAGAAGGAGGAAUGGCUGACCACUUACUGUGACACCAAUUAUCGCCACAUGUAAAGAACAGGAAAUUGUAAUUCAGGAACUGAGUGUACCAAGACAGCUGGCUUCAGCCCACAGAGGCAGGCAGCACUAUUAUUUUAAGAAUCCUUCCGGGCACAGAAGAGCAGCCUUUGUGUCUGUGGAGGUUGGUACAGUGAUGGUGAUGCCCUCCCCAUCAACAGACUGUGUAGGAAGACCUAUGGAAAAUGGAAAA